UACGGAGGGUGCAAGCGUUGUUCGGACUCUUUGGGAGUAAAGCGCGUGUAGGCGGCUAUUUAAGUCUGAUGUGAAAGCCCGGGGCUUAACCCCGGAAGUGCAUUGGAUACUGGGUAGCUAGAGGGCGAGAGAGGAUAAUGGAAUUCCUGGUGUAGGGGUUAAAUCCGUAGAUAUCAGGAGUAACAUCAGAGGCGAAGGCGCUUCUCUGGCUCGUUUCUGACUCUGUGACGCGAAAACUUUGGGAGCAGUCAGG
rnacentral:rRNA from 1 species